ensembl:lncRNA
AGAGAUGAGCAUAGGUUCCUCCCAAGAUGCCACCCGCUUCAUUCAAGUGUCUGGCAGCACUGUGUUCCUGUUAGAGCCACCAGCACAAGCACCAGACGAUGCUGAUCCAGGUGAAGGCCCCAGUGCAGCAGCAACAGCACAUGAUGGAGACGAUGAUGAGGAGGAGACCAUCUCUCUGGAUUCCAGAAGGCAUGAGGACCCAGAUGCUAUACAGUGGGAAAACCAGCCUGGCAACAAGCUCACAAGCUAUCAGAAAGUUGUAUGGCAACCACCUCCGGCGCCAAAUAGAACUGGCAGACAUAGACAUUCAGUACAAGAAGAAAAAGAUGGAAAAUCUUGCACUGGAGUUCGAAAUAAAAAAGAGGACAAUUAGGAAACUGGACCUUGAAAUAAAAAAACUUGAGAGGGAGCUCCAAGAAGAUGACACAGCUCAAAAUAAAAAUUAGCAAUCAGUACAACCAAGUCAUCGUUAUAAGGCAUCGCCCUCUUUUGCCCACCCCCCCAGCACCAGGUGUGGCCACUAGCCUAUAUGAAGGCCCAAAAUUGUGUGUUCCUUUCUGCUCUGACAAUGGCAUGCCCAUUUGUGCGAGAUGUGGUGGAUGAAGAAGCACUUGUGCUGAGGAGAGCCUUCAGGUGAGAAAGGGUCUUCAGGGACCAGUUGGACCCACUGGCCUUCCCUGAUGACCAUCUAUAUGAA